GAUGAACGCUAGCGGCAGGCCUAACACAUGCAAGUCGAGGGGUAACUAGAGUGAUAGCAAUAUUACUUUGGCUAGACCGGCGCACGGGUGCGUAACACGUAUGCAACCUACCUUAUACUGGGGAAUAACUUCGAGAAAUCGGCGCUAAUACCCCAUAACAUUGCGAAGUGGCAUCUCUUUGCAAUUAAAGCUCCGGCGGUAUAAGAUGGGCAUGCGUCCAAUUAGCUAGUUGGUGAGGUAACGGCUCACCAAGGCUACGAUUGGUAGGGGUUCUGAGAGGAUGAUCCCCCACACUGGUAAUGAGACACGGGCCAGACUCCUACGGGAGGCAGCAGUGAGGAAUAUUGCGCAAUGGACGAAAGUCUGACGCAGCCAUGCCGCGUGCAGGAUGACGGCCCUAUGGGUUGUAAACUGCUUUUGUACGGGAAUAAACCCUUCUACGUGUAGGAGGCUGAAGGUACCGUAAGAAUAAGCGCCGGCUAACUCCGUGCCAGCAGCCGCCGUAAGAC
rnacentral:rRNA from 1 species